GCUUCGUUAGCUCAGUGGUAGAGUAUUGCUGCUUAAAAACAAGCCCAAAGGUCGCGGGUUCGAAUCCUGUGCGAAGCG